rnacentral:lncRNA from 1 species
CCUCUUUCAUCUUAUCCACCAUGCACGAACACUACUUCCACCGUACCCGCAUAUAUUUGCUCCUAGCUAGUUCUAUCUAACCUAAUAUGUCCACACGUUCGUUUCAAUAUCUUCAUUAUUGCUAUUUUUAUCUUUUCAACAUACGAAUUAUUGACCAAUCAACACUACGCCUCAUUCAAUAUAUUGCUUGUUUAAACGCC